AGGAAAAACACAUAUUAUCUUAGACUGCAAUCUAGUGUGAGGAUGAGAUGGUAUUUUAAUAGGGCUGCAUUUAUCAACUGUAACAAGGGAGGGAAUGUGCUCCAACCCAGCGCGCCUUGUGGGCAAUGCAAGCAAGAGUCAGCGAGUGCGACCGCCGGAGGAGUGCGGCGAUGGGAGGAAGGCAGACGGACAGACAGCCUGCUGGGAACGAGGGCGGUCUGCAGGUGAUCUCGCAGGGGAGGGUGCGGCACCCACUGCCCAUCUUAGCGGGAUCCCAUCCCCUCGCUCCACCAUCCUCAAUGCUCCUGGAAACCUGAAUUUCUGACUUGACUUGCGAUGGGAUUUGCAUGUCUAGCCAGUGACACUACUAUUUUCAGAAGUAAUUACAUUUUUAAUUACGCUUUUUAAUAGCUGGUAGCUGCUGCUUUGCAGUUUUGUUCCUGUCCCUCUUGGACGCACCUUGGAGCAACACCAGGAGCCUCCACUUCCCUUCCAGUGAGAUGUGAGAGUGUGAACACACAGCGAGAAAGGGGAGAACGCGUGUGUCAAUGCGUGCAACUGAUCUCGCAGCCACAUAUCACAGCUGGAGACUGAAACCAGAGCUGGGCAGUGCAUCUCAGAGCCACGGGAACAGCCCCUCAGCAUUUCCCAACACAAGUCUGGAGAAAGAAUGAGGAAGACAGAAGGGCCCAGAUCUGCAGCGUGCAGACAGAGCUGGUCCUAGGAAAAGCACACCAGCUUUCCUCUAAAUCAGGCGUUUGGGCUGAGCGCUUGUGAUUGUAGGAGAAAGGGAAAGUGAUCAUAUAAAAGCAGCCACAGGAGAGGUGAAAUAAACUCUUCAAAGAGGGCUCGUGCUGGUGCAGAUUCUGCAUUGAAAAUCCAGAGUCAGAGAAUUCUCUGUGACGUUGGGCAAGGCGCUGCAUCUCUUACCAGCUCAGACUGCCAGUUGGUCACCGAGACACACCAACCUCCGCACUGCUCCUGUCCAUGGAAACAGACAGAGGUGUGGAAGAAUGAGGGUAUAUCUUUUCUAGAGAUCCAAAAGAAGGAGAGCUCUAAAUACAACAGAAAGGAAUUAGAAGGCAGCUCAUUUUGAUCCAGGCAGAUCCUUCAACCUUUUGAAAUUUAAAGGAUCCCUGACUUUCCUGAAGCAGUCUCAAGACUCCCAUGCACCCAUGUGCAGAGAAAAUAAAAGUCCCUCUGCGCCGCCUGCUCAUUAAUUUGCUUUUCUUUUCUCAUCAUUUGUUUGCUAGCUUGUCUGCUUGGGAAGAUGGCAUGGGUUUCUAUGAUUUUCCAGUCAUUGCCUAACCCACCUGUUGUAGGGCCCAGCAGCGCUUAAUGGCACUGAGCACCACGGAGCUGCAAUGCCCAUAAGCAUGUCUGUUCCCAGUCCCUUUGGAGUCACUCCCUCACAGACACCCUUUCAUCAGCAGAUUUCAGGUGUGCAGCAAACCCUGGGCGCAUGGAGCACAGCAUACUGGAGCACUGCUGGCUGCACACCCCAGCACGCACCGGUGCGUGUCCCUGUCCAGCCAGCUACAAACAGCAGCACAGAGUGGCUGUGAUUUGGCAUCUCAUUACCACAAUGACUUCGGGAGUUCAGGAAGGCAAAUGUAUAGUUCAUUUUCUGCAGUGAAGGUUCAAGAAUAAACUGAGGAGACGUGGCUGUUCCUUUGGAGUUUGAAAACCCCUUAUAUCAAAUACGUGUGGGUUUCUCAGUCAAGAACCCAGGCUGUCCCCAGGUGACACCCCUCGAAGAGUUAAUUCCUGAGAAGCAGCAGCUUUGGAAAGGUACGAGGAGGAAUGUCUUGUCCUCGGGAUGGGAGCAGCCAAUGGAGCCGGGUGCCGGUGAUGUAAUGCAGCAAACCUGGUGCAUCAUUGGCCCCGAAGAUAUUAGACUUGAUAUGAUUUUGGAGAGUUGGGUGAGAGGAGUUUUUGCAAGAAGAGCCUGUAAAUUUCCCUGCACCAAGGACACCUCACUGAAAUCCUCCAGUGCUCCUCAGCUGGGCAUGUCUGGCCAGGAGAAGUUUGCUCUGAUGAUAAUAAUUCUGCCUUGUGUCUUCUCGGUACUGUUUAGCUAUUCUGCACUCUGCUAUCUGGGAGGCAUUUCUCUGAAGUCAGCCUGUGCUGGAAUUACUUCUUCAGCCUGCCCAUGAAAUUGAAAUUAAUUUUCAAUAAGAAGCAGUUGUUUUUUCUCUGACUCACCUCUGAACUCUUAAUUGUUUCAGGCACCAACUUCCAUUCCCCCAGCUUCUAUUACCUUCCUAGGUUUUCAUCUGCCCAGUCUUAUUUCUUUAGCUGAUUACUUCAUGAGGAUAUGGCUGAUGAUGUCAUAAAUGAACCUCUCCAGUCUGGGCUUGCUCUGGAUGGAGCUGCUCACAGCCCCGCGGUGGCAGCCCAGGAGCACAGAACCUCUCGCUCUGAGCUCUGGGGAUGCAGUGUUUACAUGAGGCAGCAGCCCUCACUGCCACUGCUGCCCUGAGCAGUUCACCCCACCUGCAGCCACAUUCAGUCCCAGGAUCCUCUGACAUUCGCAUCCCUUUC
ensembl:lncRNA